GCCUCAGGUGGCACAAUUGGUUUGUGCAUCUGGCUGGUAGCCAGAAGGCUGGUGGUUCAAGCCCACCCAGGGA